rnacentral:sRNA from 1 species
CAUCCAGCUGCUUUGCCCCUCUCCAUCUGAUGUUGCCCCCUUGGCAGUUCUAUCACUACUGUGAAAGGGCUGGAGCUUUUUGGCGUCAAACUUAGUGAUGCUUCAAAGAAAUUGGGGAAAACAUUUGCUAGGUAUGAUGGAUAUUAUAUUGUUUUGUCAGUAUGCGAUGAUAGGAAAUUUCCUCAACCAAUCUCAAUCCUUUGCAGUCCUUUGGUAUCAAGGUGUUUUUUUUUUUUAAUCUUGCGCGCUAUGUGCAAUUACAUAUGUGUGAGAGACUUUUUAAAUUAGAUGCACUACGUGCUUCUUACGGAUUUUAUAAUGUCAUAUUCUCAUUCGGUUGCUGUUUUAAAUUUGGGCUUUCAUUUGGUUGAGCAUCCUUCUCUCCAAAAGGUAACAUUGUUUCUAAUGCCUAAUCAAAUUUUGAUUUCUUAGGUCAUUACAAUUUAUGUAGUUUUGUGAAGAGAAAUUGUUUACAAGCGCAAACAACUGCCAGAUUUUAUUUUGAAGUCUUAAUAUGCCUAUAGAACCAUAUAAUUAUGGGAGCGAACCAGUUCGCUGAUCAAAGACGUUAAGGCUGCUCUCAUUGAUGCAAUUGGGACAUUGAGGCUGUUCAGAAGGAAUUGAGGAGGAGAGGGAAGGUUUUGGCGUCGAAAAAGUCAUCU